UGGGGAAUCUUGCGCAAUGGGCGAAAGCCUGACGCAGCAACGCCGCGUGCGGGAUGACGGCCUUCGUGGUUGUAAACCGCUUUCAGCAGGGACGAAAAUGACGGUACCUGCAGAAGAAGCCCCGGCUAACUACGUGCCAGCAGCCGCGGUAAUACGUAGGGGGCAAGCGUUGUCCGGAUUCAUUGGGCGUAAAGAGCUCGUAGGCGGUUCAGUAAGUUGGGUGUGAAAGCUCCGGGCUCAACCCGGAGAGGCCACCCAAUACUGCUGUGACUAGAGUCCAGUAGAGGAGCGUGGAAUUCCUGGUGUAGCGGUGAAAUGCGCAGAUAUCAGGAGGAACACCAUUAGCGAAGGCGGCGCUCUGGGCUGGAACUGACGCUGAGGAGCGAAAGCGUGGGUAGCAAACAGG
rnacentral:rRNA from 2 species